GGAGAAGUGGCUGAGUGGUUUAAAGCAUUAGAUUGCUAAUCUAAUGUACAGAUUGUACCGUGGGUUCAAAUCCCAUCUUCUCCU
rnacentral:tRNA from 1 species